CGCAAGAUUAAAACUCAAAUGAAUUGACGGGGGCCCGCACAAGCGGGUGGAGCAUGUGGUUUAAUUCGAUGCAACCCGAAGAACCUUACCUACUCUUGACAUCCAGAGAACUUUCCAGAGAUGGAUUGGUGCCUUCGGGAACUCUGAGACAGGUGCUGCAUGGCUGUCGUCAGCUCGUGUUGUGAAAUGUUGGGUUAAGUCCCGCAACGAGCGCAACCCUUAUCCUUGUUUGCCAGCGAGUAAUGUCGGGAACUCCAGGGAGACUGCCGGUGAUAAACCGGAGGAAGGUGGGGACGACGUCAAGUCAUCAUGGCCCUUACGAGUAGGGCUACACACGUGCUACAAUGGCGCAUACAGAGGGCGGCCAACUUGCGAAAGUGAGCGAAUCCCAAAAAGUGCGUCGUAGUCCGGAUUGGAGUCUGCAACUCGACUCCAUGAAGUCGGAAUCGCUAGUAAUCGUGGAUCAGAAUGCCACGGUGAAUACGUUCCCGGGCCUUGUACACACCGCCCGUCACACCAUGGGAGUGGGCUGCAAAAGAAGUAGGUAGUUUAACCUUCGGGGGGACGCUU
rnacentral:rRNA from 1 species